rnacentral:rRNA from 1 species
UGAGGAAUAUUGGUCAAUGGGCGAGAGCCUGAACCAGCCAAGUAGCGUGCAGGAUGACGGCCCUAUGGGUUGUAAACUGCUUUUAUAUGGGAAUAAAGUGAGGGACGUGUCCCUUAUUGCAUGUACCAUAUGAAUAAGGACCGGCUAAUUCCGUGCCAGCAGCCGCGGUAAUACGGAAGGUACAGGCGUUAUCCGGAUUUAUUGGGUUUAAAGGGAGCGUAGACUGUUUGUUAAGCGUGUUGUGAAAUGUAAGAGCUCAACUUUUAGAUUGCAGCGCGAACUGGCAGACUUGAGUGCGCACAACGUAGGCGGAAUUCAUGGUGUAGCGGUGAAAUGCUUAGAUAUCAUGACGAACUCCGAUUGCGCAGGCAGCUUACUGUAGCAUAACUGACGCUGAUGCUCGAAAGUGCGGGUAUCAAACAGG